ensembl:lncRNA
AUGCCGUUCCCAGUCCCAUUCCACAUCCCAUUCCCGUUCCCGUUCCCAUUCCCGUUCCCACUCCCGUUCCCAGUCCCGUUCCUGUUCCUGUUCCCAAUCCCAUUCCCAUUCCCAUUCCCACUCAUGUUCCCAUUCCCAUUCCCAUUCCCGUUCCCAAUCCCAUUCCCGUUCCCAUUCCGCAGGCCAUGCCCCCAUUCCCGUUCCCAGUCCCAUUCCCGUUCCCAGUCCCGUUCCCAAUCCCGUUCCCAAUCCCAAUCCCAUUCCGAUUCCCAAUCCCAUUCCCAUUCCCGUUCCCAAUCCCAUUCCCGUUCCGCAGGCCGUGCCCCCAUUCCCAAUCCCAUUCCCGUUCCCGUUCCCAAUCCCGUUCCCGUUCCGCAGGCCGUGCCCCCAUUCCCAAUCCCGUUCCCGUUCCCAAUCCCGUUCCCGUUCCGCAGGCCGUGCCCCCAGUCCUGUUCCCGUUCCCAAUCCCGUUCCCGUUCCGCAGGCCGUGCCCCCAUUCCCAAUCCCGUUCCCAUUCCCAAUCCCGUUCCCGUUCCCGUUCUGCAGGCCGUGCCCCCAUUCCCGUUCCCGUUCCCGUUCCCAAUCCCGUUCCCGUUCCGCAGGCCGUGCCCCCAAUCCCGUUCCCAUUCCCAGUCCCGUUCCCAUUCCCGUUCCCAUUCCCAUUCCCGUUCCCAAUCCCAAUCCCGUUCCCGUUCCGCAGGCCUUGCCCCCAAUCCCAUUCCCGUUCCCGUUCCCAUUCCCGUUCCCAAUCCCGUUCCCAUUCCCAGUCCCAUUCCCGUUCCCGUUCCGCAGGCCGUGCCCCCAUUCCCAUUCCCAAUCCCGUUCCCAUUCCCGUUCCCGUUCCCAAUCCCGUUCCCGUUCCGCAGGCCGUGCCCCCAUUCCCAAUCCCAUUCCUGUUCCCAAUCCCGUUCCCAAUCCCGUUCCCAUUCCCAUUCCCGUUCCCAUUCCUGUUCCCAUUCCGCAGGCCGUGCCCCCAAUCCCAAUCCCAUUCCCGUUCCCAUUCCCAUUCCCGUUCCCAUUCCCGUUCCCAAUCCCGUUCCCGUUCCGCAGGCCGUGCCCCCAGUCCCAAUCCCAUUCCCAUUCCCAAUCCCGUUCCCAUUCCGUUCCCAAUCCCGUUCCCGUUCCCGUUCUGCAGGCCGUGCCCCCCGCCCGCCCCCCGCCCGGGGCUGCCUCGUUCCCGCUGGGGCUGUGCCCCCGCCUGCGCAGCCCCCGCAAGGGUUGGGGGCGCCGCAUCAAGAGCUGGGCCCGGCGCCUGCGCCCCCCUUCCGUGGGGGGAGACCCCCACACAGAGGAGCCAGAGGAACUCGGGGACCCCCCAAGGCAAGGGCACUGCCAGGUGGGUGUUGGGGACCCCAAAGGGCCCCAGGAACCCUAAAACUGCCACAUGGAGCCCCCCAAAACUGCCCCAGAGACCUCAGAACUACCCCAAGAGACUCCAGAGUUAUCCCAGGGACCCCCAAACCACCCCAGAGACCCCUGAUCUGCCCCAGGACCCCCCUAAACUGGCCCAAGGAAUCCCCAAACUGCCCCAGGGACCCCAGAACUACCUCAGAAACCCCCAAACUGUCCCGGGGACCCCCCAAACUGUUCCGAGGGACCUCCAAACUGCCCCAGGGACCCCAGAACUACCUCAGAAACCCCCAAACUAUCCCGGGGACCCCCCAAACUGUUCCAAGGGACCCCCAAACUGCCCCGGGGACCCCCCAAACUGUUCUGAGGGACCCCCAAACCACCCCAGAGACCCCUGAUCUGCCCCAGGAACCCCCUAAACUGGCCCAAGGAAUCCCCAAACUGCCCCAGGGACCCCAGAACCACCUCAGAAACCCCCAAACUGUCCCGGGGACCCCCCAAACUGUUCCAAGGGACCUCCAAACUGCCCCAGGGACCCCAGAACUACCUCAGAAACCCCCAAACUGUCCUGGGGACCCCCCAAACUGUUCCAAGGGACCUCCAAACUGCCCCAGGGACCCCAGAACUACCUCAGAAACCCCCAAACUGUCCUGGGGACCCCCCAAACUGUUCCAAGGGACCUCCAAACUGCCCCAGGGACCCCAGAACUAUCUCAGAAACCCCCAAAAUGUCCCGGGGACCCCUCCAAACAGCCUCGGAGAUCCCCAAAACUACCCCAGAGACCCCCAAACUGCCCCAGGGACCCCAGAACUACCUCAGAAACCCCCAAACUGCCCCAGGGACCCCUCCAAACAGCCUCGGAGAUCCCCAAAACUACCCCAGAGACCCCCAAACUGCCCCAGGGACCCCAAAUCCCUCCCUCUUGACCCCCAUCUCCUGUCACCCCUCUCUCCCCCUGUCCCUUCCUAGCCACCCCCUGAGCCCACCGACCCCGAGGGCGACUGGGGGGGCCCCAGCUCAGGCAGUGAGAGUGGGGGGCUGGGGGGACCCCCGCACCCCCCCGGGGCCCCCCUGCUCCCCCCGGGGUCCCCUGAGACCCCCCUGAGCAGCGACGGGGAUUCGGAGCCCGAGGACGAGGCGCUGCGGGAGCAGCUGCGGCGGCUGCGGGAAAAGUGAGUGAGGGGCUUUGGGGGGAUUUGGGGGGUCCUGAGGAGGUUUUGGGGUUUGGAGAGG